AGAGAGAGUUCAAGAGGGCGUGAAACCGCUGAGAUGGAAACGGAUAGAGUUGACGGAGCUCUGCUGCAUUCAACCGAUCGGCCCAGCGGUCCAAUGGUUUUGACUUCCUCGAUGAGGGCAAUGCCGUUGAUAGCCGUUGGGUGCUUGAUCGGUGUAUUUGCGGCUGGUAUGCGCUGAGGGCUUUGUGGGCGCGUCUCGACGGGUGUGGAGUGGACCAUACCUUCUCGGUGUGGAACCCUUCGCGCUCUUAGGCAUGUCGCCCGUAAAGUUUCGGAAGUGCCGUCUCCGCUAUGGUGCAUCGGCUUUGUCGAGCUGCUGUCGCUUCAGGUUGGUCGCAUGCGACCGCCGGUUGUCGUCAAUGGCGUGAUGAGGUGCAGAUGCGCUGAGGCGUGCACCUCGGUGUGAACGUUGACCACCUAUCCGACCCGUCUUGAAACACGGACCAAG
rnacentral:rRNA from 1 species